AUGCCGAGAACCUAUCCUCCCCUCCCCCUUUUGCUCCUCGCCGUCCUCCUGCUGGCCGGCGAGUCGAGCUCGCAGCCCACCUCCGGUGACCGGGCCGCGCUCCUGGCAAUCAAGAAGGACUGGGGUAACCCCGCGCAGCUCGCGUCGUGGGACCCCGCCGCCCACGCCAACCACUGCAACUGGACCGGCGUCGCCUGCGAGGGCGCCGGCGCCGGGCGCGUGGUCACGGGGGUAUCCUUGCCGGGGCUGAACAUUAGCGGCAACGUGCCGGCGUCCGUGUGCGACCUGGCGAACCUGACCCGCCUCGACCUCUCCAACAACAACCUCACCGGCGGCUUCCCCGCGCUGUACCGCUGCUCCCAGCUCCAGUUCCUCGACCUCUCCAACAACGGAUUCGACGGGGUCCUCCCGGAUGACAUCGGCCGGCUGUCGCGGGCGAUGGAGCGCCUCAACCUGUCGGCUAACCACUUCUCCGGCGCCGUGCCAGCGGCGGUAGCGGGGCUAACGGCGCUGAAGUCGCUGAUUCUUGACACGAACCAGUUCACCGGGGCGUAUCCGGCGGCCGAGAUAAGCAAGCUCGCCGGCCUUGAGGAGCUGACGCUUGCCUCGAACCCUUUCGCGCCGGCGCCGGCGCCGCGCGAGUUCGCCAAUCUAACCAACCUGAGCUACCUCUGGAUGUCCGGCAUGAACAUGACCGGCGAGAUCCCGAAGAAUUACUCGAGCCUAGUGAAGCUCCAGAUACUCGCUAUGACGGCGAACAACCUCACCGGCGAGAUCCCGGCUUGGGUCUGGCAGCACCCAAAGCUCGAGAAGUUGUACCUGUUCACCAACGGACUCACCGGCGAGCUUCCGCGCAAUAUCUCGGCGGUGAAUUUAAUAGAGAUUGAUGUAUCGGUGAACAAGCUCGCCGGAGAAAUACCGGAAGACAUUGGUAACCUCAAGAACCUCAGCAUAUUGUUCAUGUACACCAAUCAGCUCACCGGCACCAUUCCGGCAAGCAUAGCGACGCUGCCCAAACUCAGGGACAUCCGGCUAUUUGAAAACAAGCUCUCCGGCGAGCUCCCGCGGGAGCUCGGGAAGCACUCGCCGCUCGUCAACCUCGAGGUCUGCAACAACCAGCUCUCUGGCCCGCUCCCGGAGUCACUAUGCGCCAACGGGAAGCUCGACGACAUCGUCGUCUUCAACAACAGCUUCUACGGCGAGCUCCCGAAGAACCUCGGCGACUGCGUCCUGCUGAACAACAUCAUGCUCUACAACAACCGCUUCUCCGGCGAGUUCCCGGAGAAGAUAUGGUCAUUUCCGAAGUUGACCACUCUGAUGAUACACAACAACGGUUUCACCGGGGCUCUACCGGCCGUGCUAUCUGAUAACAUCUCGCGGAUUGAGAUGGGGAACAACAGAUUCUCUGGCUCCUUCCCCACGUCGGCAACCGGGCUGGGUGUGUUCAAGGCGGAGAACAACCAGCUCUCCGGCAAGCUACCGGACAGCAUGAGCAAGUUUGCCAACCUUACUGAUCUGUUGAUGUCAGGCAACCAGCUAACUGGUUCCAUACCAACAUCAGUCAACGUGUUGCAGAAGCUCAAUUCUCUCAACUUGAGCGGCAACCGGAUGUCUGGCACCAUUCCACCUUCCAGUAUCGGGUUGCUUCCAUCGCUGACGAUCCUUGAUUUGUCCGGCAAUGAAAUCACCGGUGUCAUACCGCCCGACUUCAACAACCUGAAACUCAACAACCUCAACAUGUCGUCAAACCAGCUCACCGGCGUGGUGCCGCUCUCGCUGCAGAGCGCGGCAUACGAGACCAGCUUCCUCGGCAACCACGGGCUCUGUGCUAGGAAAGGCUCGGGAGUAGACCUCCCGAAAUGCGGCAGUGCCCGUGACGAGCUCUCGAGGGGCUUGAUCGUCCUCUUCUCCAUGCUCGCCGGCAUUGUUCUCGUCGGAAGCGUGGGCAUCGCAUGCCUGCUCUUCCGGCGGCGGAAGGAGCAGCAGGAGGUGACCGACUGGAAGAUGACGCAGUUCACCCAACUGGGCUUCACCGAGUCCGAUGUGCUCAACAACAUCCGUGAGGAAAACGUGAUCGGCAGCGGCGGGUCCGGGAAGGUGUACCGCAUCCACCUGCCUGCCCGUGCCGGCGGCGGCGGCGACGAGGAGCACGGCGGAGGCGGCAGGAUGGUGGCCGUGAAGAAGAUAUGGAACGCAAGGAAGCUGGAAGCGAAGUUCGACAAGGAGUUCGAGUCGGAGGUGAAGGUGCUGGGCAACAUCCGGCACAACAACAUCGUGAGGCUGCUCUGCUGCAUCUCCAGCCAUGACGUGAAGCUGCUGGUCUACGAGUACAUGGAGAACGGCAGCCUCGACCGGUGGCUGCACCACCUUGACCGCCAGGGCGCGCCGGCGCCGCUGGACUGGCCGACGAGGCUGGCCAUCGCCAUCGACUCGGCCAAGGGGCUCAGCUACAUGCACCACGACUCCGCGCAGUCGAUCGUGCACCGGGACGUCAAGUCCAGCAACAUCUUGCUGGAUCCGGAGUUCCGUGCCAAGAUCGCCGACUUUGGGCUCGCCCGGAUGCUUGUCAAGUCCGGCGAGCUAGAGUCCGUGUCAGCCAUCGGCGGCACGUUUGGGUACAUGGCCCCAGAGUAUGCUUCCAGGCUGAAGGUGAACGAGAAGGUCGACGUUUACAGCUUCGGUGUGGUUCUGCUGGAGCUGAUCACCGGCAAGGUCGCGAACGACGGCGGCGCCGACUUCUGCCUGGCGGAGUGGGCGUGGCGGCGGUACCAGAAAGGCCCUCCGUUCAGCGACGUGGUCGACGAGCACAUCCGUGACCCGGCCAACAUGGCGGACAUCCUGGCCGUGUUCACCCUCGGCGUGAUCUGCACGGGGGAGAACCCUCCGGCGCGGCCGUCCAUGAAGGAGGUCCUGCAGCACCUCAUCCGGUGCGACAAGAUGUCUGCUCAGGCAGAGGCGUGCCAGCUGGACUACGUCGACGGCGGCGCGCCGCUGCUCGAGGCGAAGAAAGGCAGCCGGAGGAGGGACGUGUCGGACUCCGGCAGGUGGGACGACGACGAGGAGGACAGCGGCAACUUCGUGGUGCACGCGGUCUAG
rnacentral:rRNA from 1 species